rnacentral:lncRNA from 1 species
CUGAACUUUUUUUUUUUCAAUUUUAUUUUUAUCUGUGCUGGGUCUUCGUUGCUACAUGCAGGCUUUCUCUGGUUGCAGCGAGUAGGGUCUCUUCUCUACUUGCAGUGGCUUCUCUUGUUGUAGAGCACAAGAGGAUAAUUGCCUAGCUCUAGAGCUCAAAGGCUCUAGCUCUGCAGGCUCAGUAGAUGUGGCACACAGACUUAGCCCUGUGGCAUGUGGGAUCUUCCUGGACCAGGGAUGGAGGAAGACGCCCGUGUGUCCGGCAUUGGCAGACAGAUGCUUCAGCUGAACUUUUAAACUUGCAGCACACACAGGGAAGAAAUGCUGUUGGGGUCUGGUCUGCAUAUCUCAGAGGGAAGAGGAACGGAACAGUAGGUGACCUCGAGUACCAGAUGUUCAGCCAUGUCUGUAGCACUGUACGUACAAUAAGCAGAGGUGAGGGUAUUGAUGCCAAAUCUCCUUAUUGUCGGGGGAUACGAUGAAUUUUAAGUUUAUGUUUUAUUCAUUUUCCAAAUAUUGUGUUUUCUCAUAUGCGCUGCUUUAAAAAAAUCCAUAGGCACACCAGAAUUUAUUCCCUCCUUCCAAAGAAAUUUGUAAACUAGUAGCAAUAACUUUGACUAUCUGACAGUAUCUGAUAAAAAUGUGUUGUUCUUGAAGGUCAUUAGGUCAAAAUAUAGAUGGAAUCUGAUGCAGAGUUUUAGCAAUAAAAAUUCCAACAAAUUAUGACGAAAAUGUUUUAAGUAAGGUAGAGUGGGAAUUUUCCCAUGAUGCAAGGCCAGGCAAUUCAAAAAGUGACUCUAUCGUGACCCCUGUCUCAGGCUGCCUUCCUUCAGCAAAGUUAAUGUUCCAGGAAUCAACAGGACAAACCCAGGAGAUAUUAUUUCUCCAGAGACUGAACAAAGAUUUGGGAAUGAGAUGGGUUGAGGCCCAG